GAUGAACGCUAGCGGCGUGCCUAACACAUGCAAGUCGAACGUGAGAGGGUACUUGUAUCCUUGAAAGUGGCGGACGGGUGAGUAAGACGUAGGUGACCUGCCUCGAAGUGGGGGAUAACCAUUGGAAACGAUGGCUAAUACCGCAUAAGCUGGUGAUGAUGGGAAUUGUUAUCAGGAAAGCUUUAGUGCUUUGAGAGGGGCCUACGGCCGAUUAGCUAGUUGGUGAGGUAAAGGCUCACCAAGGCGAUGAUCGGUAGCUGGUCUGAGAGGACGAUCAGCCACACGGGAACUGAGACACGGUCCCGACUCCUACGGGGGGCAGCAGUGAGGAAUAUUCGGCAAUGGGGGCAACCCUGACCGAGCAACGCCGCGUGGAGGAUGAAGGCUUUAGGGUUGUAAACUCCUUUUGUGGGGGAAAAGAAUGGAUGGUACCCCAAGAAUAAGUCACGGCUAACUACGUG
rnacentral:rRNA from 1 species